rnacentral:rRNA from 1 species
CCUACGGGAGGCAGCAGUGGGGAAUAUUGGGCAAUGGGCGCAAGCCUGACCCAGCAAUGCCGCGUGAAGGAAGAAGGCUUUCGGGUUGUAAACUUCUUUGACAGGGGAAGAGCAGAAGACGGUACCCUGAAAACAAGCCACGGCUAACUACGUGCCAGCAGCCGCGGUAAUACGUAGGUGGCAAGCGUUGUCCGGAUUGACUGGGUGUAAAGGGCGGGUAGCCGGGAAGGCAAGUCAGAUGUGAAAUCUGGAGGCUGAACCUCCAAAUUGAAUUUGAAACGGUUUUUCUUGAGUACUGGAGAGGCAGACGGAAUUCCUUGGGUAGCGGUGAAAUGCGUAGAUAUAAGGAGGAACACCAGUGGCGAAGGCGGUCUGCUGGACAGCAACUGACGGUGAGGCGCGAAAGCGUGGGGAGCAAACAGGAUUAGAUACCCCAGUAGUC